GCAGGUGUAGUGACAGAGUGACAGGUGUAGUGACAGGUGUAGUGACAGAGUGACAGGUGUAGUGACAGAGUGACAGGUGUAGUGACAGGUGUAGUGACAGGUGUAGUGACAGGUGUAGUGACAGAGUGACAGGUGUAGUGACAGGUGUAGUGACAGGUUGACAGGUGUAGUGACAGGUGUAGUGACAGAGUGACAGGUGUAGUGACAGGUGUAGUGACAGAGUGACAGGUGUAGUGACAGGUGUAGUGACAGGUGUCUGAGCGCGGCUGGAAGGACGGCAUCUCCUGCGAGCUGAUUGGCU